AUUGAACGCUGGCGGCAUGCCUUACACAUGCAAGUCGAACGGCAGCAUGAUCUAGCCUGCUAGAUUGAUGGCGAGUGGCGAACGGGUGAGUAAUACAUCGGAACGUGCCCUGUAGUGGGGGAUAACUAGUCGAAAGAUUAGCUAAUACCGCAUACGACCUGAGGGUGAAAGUGGGGGACCGCAAGGCCUCAUGCUAUAGGAGCGGCCGAUGUCUGAUUAGCUAGUUGGUGAGGUAAAGGCUCACCAAGGCGACGAUCAGUAGCUGGUCUGAGAGGACGAUCAGCCACACUGGGACUGAGACACGGCCCAGACUCCUACGGGAGGCAGCAGUGGGGAAUUUUGGACAAUGGGCGAAAGCCUGAUCCAGCAAUGCCGCGUGUGUGAAGAAGGCCUUCGGGUUGUAAAGCACUUUUGUCCGGAAAGAAAUGGCUCUGGUUAAUACCUGGGGUCGAUGACGGUACCGGAAGAAUAAGGACCGGCUAACUACGUG
rnacentral:rRNA from 1 species